CCUUUUUUUUCUGAGGUGUGGCUCGCACCUGUCCAACUAAACCUGAGCUACCUUUUUUAUAUAACACGGUUGCAUCGGUCGGUCUGUCGAAACCAGUAGCGCUCAUAGCGAGCAGCGUCUGGGGAAAGACGGGUCGGCGCUUCUUACCAACACUUUUGAACACUAGGAUUGGAAGGACAAAAAUCAUUUUUUUUGAUGAUGGAAGCGACUGGUAAUGCGGUCGUCUAAAUUGAAAAAACAACUUUUGGCAACGGAUCUCUUGGUUCUCCCAUCGAUGAAGAACGCAGCGAAUUGCGAUAAGUAAUGUGAAUUGCAGAAGUGAAUCAUCGAAUCUUUGAACGCACCUUGCGCUCCCGGCAGAUUUAAUCUGGGGAGCAUGCCUGUUUGAGGGCCGCGAAUUGUUUCGAACGACAGCUUUUUUUUCUUGUUGAGAAAGAGCUGGCGGAUCGGUAGUGAGGGUCUCUGCCAUUUACCGUGGCUCCCUCGAAAUGCAUUAGCGCAUCCAUUGGAAGGCGGAAAGACGGACGAAAGCUCGAGUUUUUUUGCCCUCGCUUCCCUGCCGGGUUUUGAUAAUGUCAGGACUUCGGAGGCGAAGAGAGGGCGGGAGCUGGACGCAACGACUUUUCUGCUGUUUGGCGUGCUUCUGAACCCCGCCCAUGCCUCUGCUUUAACCACAGAGGAAGGGAUUUAUUUUUCAAUUCAUCGGCCUCAGAUUGGU
rnacentral:misc_RNA from 1 species